rnacentral:lncRNA from 1 species
GGCCGCAAGAAAAUGCUCUUCUUCUCCUGCCUCACCAUGUCGCUCACCGGAAUUCUCACCGUCAUAUCACCGAAUAUAUGGCUCUACUCGGCCCUGAGAUUUGUUUGCGGGUUUGGACGAGCCACCGUCCUCACCUGCGCGCUCGUGCUAUCGACGGAGAUCGUCAGCCAAAAAUGGCGAGAUGGUGUCAGCAUCAUCGGAUUCUUUUGUUUUGGGCUUGGCUUCUUAUCUUUACCCGCUGUGGCCUAUGUUAAUCGGGGGUCAUCUUGGAGGACUCUCUACCUGUGGACCUCGGUUCCUUCUUUCUGCUACUCCAUUUUGCUUUAUUUUCUUGUCCAGGAAUCUCCGAGGUGGCUCCUCGUACGAGGGCGAAGAGAAGAGGCCGUCCACAUAUUGAAGAACAUCGCAGCGUCCAACGGUAAUGUGAUCACUUCUAGCUUCUCCACUCUAGUAACCCCGGAAGAUGUGGAGAACGUGGGCAUCUUCACCGCAAUGAAGAUUCUUUGGGAGAAGAGAUGGGCUUUUCGGAGGUUAAUUGCGAUCAUGACGGUAGCCUUUGGCGUCGGGAUGGUCUACUAUGGGAUGCCGCUGAAUGUAGGAAAUUUGACAUCCAAUAUCUACUUGAGCGUCACAUAUAAUGCGUUAGCAGAGCUACCCUCGUCGCUCAUCACAUUCUUUUGCAUCGAGAACUUUAACCGGAGGAGUUCAUCGCUCAUACUCACAACCUUGAGUGGGAUGUGUAGCAUCUAAUUGUGUGUCUUCAUGAAGAUUGAGGGUUUAAAGAUGGCANNNNNNNNNNNNNNNNNNNNGAAGGCUGGAUUCCCUUCACAGCCCCCCGGAUUCUGCCAAAGUAUAUGGGUGCAAUUGGAUAGUGUGGUCCUUUUAUCUCUCAGCUCAAUUGGUCCACCUAACCGAACCUGAUUAUCAGAAUUCUUAUGAUCCUUAAAUAAGCUGGCAAUGAAUAACUUUGAUUCUUUGUCUGAAAACAGCACUUACUAAGAUUUCUAACAAAACAUUCGAACUACAUGUAUCAUUACAGUUGUAUUAUCAUUGAUGCAGCUGGAACAGACAAUAAUAUCUGGUUAGGACUCAAAGUUAAUUGGAUGGUAAGAUGCAUUCUGGAGCCUUGACAAGGAACCGUGACCCAAGCAAUUAAACGAUCAAGAUCCAGACAUAAGCCCACCAAUCAAAAUAGAGGGUGCCAUGGUCAUCACAUCCAGCGUUUACACUAAAUUUUAUAUUAAGUUCCCCUUUGAAGAGAGAAUUAUAUAUAUGGGUGCUCCCGGUAUGCAAAUGUGGAAUGUAAUGUACACUUCAGAUUCAGUUCUCUCAACAGAAGUGCAUCUCAUUCUUAUAAACCAGCAGGGCAUCAGUGACCUAAAACAACGUAUAAGUGUCUCACGAAUGAGGAUACUAGCACUCUUCCUAAGCCGAAUAAUCUUCUUGACCUCCACCUAGAGAAUCCGGAAUUUUCAAAAGUUGCAUGGCCCGGUUCUAAUGCUUAUUGCGGCGGUUAUAUGGAGCUGUUGGAUUGAAAGGAAUUCUCGCAUUUUCUUGAAGAAGUUCUCUUCUGCUGCCUCUGUUGCUCAUAAGGCUCUCUCAUUGUGCAAUGAUUGGUCCUCUCUGUGGCCAUAAGGAGGCCGGGUGCUUUUGCUAAAUUCUGGCAUAAAACCAAGGGAUGUUGGAGAUCAAUUUAAUUUUUGUUCCUGUUUUUGUUUUAUGGUGAGCUCAAGCUGCCUUUUUUCUUGCUGGAAAUGAUGAGUUACCUCUUAUUUAUUAGAAUGAUAUGUGAUUCAUGGUUUCUCUUUUCUCUGUGAUCCGGCUUCACUUCUUGCUCAUAAGACUGUGAUGAUACUGGCAUGGUUCCUGACAUUGCUGCUAUCUACUCAGACCCAUGAUGCUUUUUUGCAUUAUUUUUGAUGCUGUUGUCUUAUACUUUUCAGAAGUUUCCCUCGGGUUUCUGCUGUCUUAAAAACUCAGAAGUUGCACUCCAUGUUUCUUCUUGCAACCAUCCUUACUGUGCCUCUACUUCUCCUUUUCUCAAUCAGGAUUGGACGGCAGAGGAAGUACCGAAUUUUUCAGCAAGCAAGGUCAUCUUCUUACAAACUUGUGCACAAAGUUUUGUUAGAUAUUACAUUAUCUGUUGAAUCAAACCCUUCUAUGGUUCCAUCAUGGCACUGGGGGAGUCUUUCCAUACAUUAUCUCCUUAUUCCUUGCUCUCUUGGCUGCCCCCUCCCAUUGGAGUAUCAAGAUUAAUUUUGAUACGGUGGUGGCUCAGUCUAAGGUUUCAGUCAGUGUUAUAAUACGGGACUCUUCUGAUACGGAAGAGGAAUUGUUGCAUAAACUCACUAUGCCUUACGCUGAGCUUGCUGCUGCUUGGCUAGGUCUAUAUGUUGCUCUUUUGGAGUUUCUCAAAUUUCUGAUAUAUUUGAAAGGACAUUCAGCUACUGUUGUUUACUGGCUGAAAUCUCUAAGUUCUCUUAUUAUUCAUCAAUAUUUCUUAUUAGCUGAUCUUCAUAAUAACUAACAAAUAGUCUAAAUUAGAAGGUUUUACACACUUUUCCAGAAGGAAAUAGAGCAGCCAAUUAUGUGGCAAAAAAAGUAUUAGAAGGGGACUAUAGCCUCUUUGUGGAUAGCUUUAUACCUCCCCAACUCAAUGCUAUUUUACCGUCUAAUAGAGUGGGACUGGGUCCAUAUAUCACCCCUUAAUGAAGAAUUUCAUUCAGUUUUAUUUAUUUCCAUGCUGGCCUUUUAACCAUUGUGGAGUGUAUUCUUGUUUCUUGCGUUAGUCCACUAUAUGGCUAUUCAUUCAAGCGAUUCAUUAUAUGACUGGCACACAGAUUUUGGUGGGGUUUGAUAUCAUAUUGGUGUCUCAUAUACAUAUGCCCAAUGCUAGUAUGAUCUUCCUUUAUAUUCCAUAUUUAUGGGCAGGGACUAGUACAUGACGAUGACCCAAUCAAUUUGUUCUAAUGCCAUUAUUGAUUACUUACUCAAAAGUAGGAUAUGUCAAUACUUUUGGAUGCUUGGACCAUUUGACUAUGACCUACUUCUUGACCGAUGUUUAGAUGGAACAAAGAUUUUCUUUUUGUUUCUUUGUGUUCAUCUUAUGGUGCCAAUGGCUCAUCAACAAUGUUCAUGGGGUACAUUAUGGAUCUAUUCAAAAAGAUGAAAUAUGGAUCCUGCUGGUGUUGGAAGGUCUACAUUAGUUUCUGUUAUCAUGUUAUGGCCACAUGAUUUCUGCAUUCACUGGAUGCUUUUAUCAACUUGCCAUGAUGUUCUUCAGUAUCAUAUGCAGGAACUUACUUAUACUCUACUUGUUUGGGCAAGAUCGUUCUUUAAUUUUUGGCACCUAUUACUCAAUACCAUACUGUGGACUUUUAAUCUUCAUAUCUUAUGUAUCAGAGGUCCUACCGUAGGCAAUAUGUACAGUUAUACAAGUAGUUUCAGAAUGAUCUAUGCCAGAUUGCUACAUUCAGGCCUUUCUACAAACUCAAUUUCAUACAUUACUGAUCCUUGCAGAUAGUGGAAAGAUGUAGUCUUAUUGCUCAUGAUGUGGGAUUUUUGGGCUGCGAAACAAAGCAACACUCCAUCCAAAUGGCUACAUCACUUUGACUUUGUAGUUUAUCAUAUUUUAUAUUGGACAUUACUACCAAGUCUGGUUUACAUGCUGGAUACUUGUUUAUUGGUUGUAUUGGGGACAUGUACCAAUGCCUACUUUGCAGCUCUUUUGAAUAUUUUGGAUGUCGAUUGUAUCAUAUUUGUUAUCACAGAUUGGUACACGUGUUUUGUAUUCCCGAUUUUCUAUAUAUAAAGUCUUUGGGUAAUGUUUGCCACCAAAAAAAAAAGAAAAUAUACAUAAGGAAGUCACGUGUCAAAUGACAGUUUCUUUUAACGUACAUAUUGUUUGACUACCCAUAUCAUAUCAGGUGCCAGAGUAAAAUAAGAUGCAGAGGCUGCAGGUUGAUGUCGCAUGACGGUAAAAGAGGCAGUUGGUGCAUGUGUUUUAGAUGGCAAUCUGUAUAUGCUUUCUAUUUUGGUUGUAGGAUUAACAAUGACUAUCAUCACUCAAGUUUAUAGCUAAAGAAAUUCUUGCACAUCUAGAAUUUUAAUUUGCUAGCUGUUCUAAAGCUAGUGGAUGAAAUAAAGAUUUUCUUAUAAAAAAAAUAAAGAUUUUAAUUCUCGAUGGAUGGAGGUAUCUGGGCCGUCCAGAAAAUGGGAUCAGAGGUGAAGGGAACACUAAAACCAGUCAAAGAUUUUAUUUAAAAAAAACUGUCCAUGAAAAACAAAGAGAGGAAAAAGAAACAGAGAAAAUGAGAAGAAAAAAAAAGAAAGAAAAGAAAAAGAAUGAAGAGAGAAGAAAAGAAAGAAAAAGAUAAAAAGAAUAAGAAAGUAAAGAAAGGAGGAGAGAACUCACAAUAGAAAGAAAGUUGGAAGAAAGGAAAGAACGAAAGAAAAAUGAUUUUUUUUAUUAAAAAAAUAAUAAAAAUAAUUGAAAAAAAAUGAAGGAAAAAACAUAAGAGAAGAAAGAAAAAAAAAAGAGAAAAGAAGAGAUGGAGAUAAUUACUAAACUUGAGACGACACGAGAUUUAAAAUCUAACUAUCCCUAAGGUACUCGGUUAAAAAUUUCAGCUAUCUUUUUAUUCUUUUCCCAAGGGCAUUGAGCUAUUAACUUUAUUAAUUUUUUAAAUUAUUUUUUAAAAAAAGAAUCCACUGGAAGUAAGAUUUAAUUGUUAAUGUAGUUCUAAUUCACCAAAAAUUUUAAUUUUAAAAUUUAAAUAUGCAUUUUUGAAACUAGGUCUAAAUGCCAAGCCAAUGUAGCUAUACAACCAUCCACGUCUCUACUUCUUUUUAAAUCCAGCACAAGUUUUUCAAAAGCUAACUAAUCAUUUUAUAGAUUUUCUAUAAUAGAUAAAAAUUUAAUAAAAUUAUAGAAGCAUCCCUUAAGUUUGGGCCAGUUAGACCUUCGAAAUUUAAAAAGUUUCAAUUCACCAUCAAAACUUUAUUUUGGUUGAAAUAUAAGCAAGCUAUAUAUCUAAUAAUAAAAUGAGAAAAAUGAUAAAACUAUAAUUGGUCCAUAAAGAUUGGACCGUAAAUUUUAUGUGAUCUCAAAGUGUACCAACAUGUAUCAUUUAUCCAUUUGAAUAGAUCUUAAAGUACUUCAUCUUCUAUUAUUCAUCCAUCUAUAUAGACUCCAAAGAACUUUAUUCUUUAUCAUCCAUCUAUCUGCAAAUAUCUUAAAGCACUCCAUCCACCUACUAUCAUUAAUCUGCUUGCACAAUCUCAAGGUGCUCCACAUCUAUCAUUCAUCCUUUUACACAAAUCACAAAGUGUUCCAUUUUUUAUCAUCCAUCUAGCUGCAUAAAUCUCAAAAAACUCUAUUCUCCAUCAUUCAUCCAUAGCAUAGAUCUCAAAGUACUAUUCUUUAUCAUCCAUCCAUCUGUAUAGAUCUUAGAGCACUUUAUAUUCUAUCAUUCAUUUGCCUAUAUAGGUUACAAAGUACUCCAUCCUCUAUCAUCCAUCCAGUUGUAUAGAUCUUAAAGUACUUCAUCCUCUAUCAUCCAUCUAUCCAUACAUAUCUCAAAGCAUUAUAUUCUCUAUAAUUUAUACGCUUGCAAAGAUUUUAAAGUACUCGAUCCCUUGUCAUUCAUCUAUCUGCAUAGAUUUCAAAAUACUCCAUCUUUUAUUAUCUAUCAAUCUGCACGUAUUUCAAAGCAUUUUAUCUCUAUCAUCCAUCUACUUGUAUAGAUCUUAAAGUACUCCAUCCUCUAUCACCCAUCUAUCUACCAACUCUCAAAAUGUUUUAUUUUCUGUAAUCCAUCCACUACACAAAUCUCAAGCACUCCAUCCUUUAUCAUAUAUCCAUUUGCACACAUUUCAAAGUACUCCAUCCUCCAUCAUUUAUCUAUGAUAUAAAUUCUAGAGUCCUUCAUUAUUUGUCAUGCACCUAUGUGUAUAGAUCUCAAAAUACUCCAUCUUUUAUUAUUCAUCCAUUUGCACAAAUCACAAAAUGCUCCGUCCAUAUAAUCAUGAUUUUUCUUCCUAUCAAUUCAUGCAAAAGUAAGAAUCUCUCAAUAAGUUAGUGGGAAGAUAAAUUUUAAAAUUUUAUAAAAAUUUAAUUAUCAAAUAAUUUUUAUGUGAUAAUAUUUUAUAUUGAAGAUUGCCCAUAAAUUUGAAGUUCUAAUAGUUAAUUGGUGCUUUCUAAAAUUUUAAGAUUUUCAACGUAAAAAUUUAAAUUUAGAAAGAUGUUUCUGUAAUUUUAUAAAAAAUUAUAAAAAAUAAAAAUAAAAUAAUUUAAAUUUUUUAUUCUAUCAUUUGUACCUUUCACAUGCCAGACGUCACUCUUCACAGCCAUCCAGCAACAAAAAGACAUCCAGUGAGAUACCAAACAAAAAAAGAGAGAGAAAAGACAUCCACUGCCGCCCACUUUUAUCGUAUUCGGUCAUCAUAAUCCAUACUGACGCCGAUGCCACACGGAACACCUUUCCCACGGUCGCGUGCGCUGGUUUGGUAGGACAGCUGUAUUGUUUUUUUUUUACAAAAAUAUGUAUUUUUAUUUAAAAAAUCAAAAUCAAUUCAGAAAAAAUUUAUUACAAACAAAAAAAAAACUACCUAAAGUGGCAGAAAAGUUUGGUCUAUUCAUUAACUUUGGGCGGCCGUUAUUUAAUAAAUAUAUUACUAACUCCUGAUAAGAAGAAUCUCGUUAGAUCAACAUCCAACUCACUCAUCUGACUGCAUUCAGAGGAGAUAGCACUGGCGCAGGAUGCAUCCCCACCAAACAAUCAAAAAUAAAUAAAUAAAUAAAUAAAUAAAAUUUUAUUUUCAUAAAAAAAUAUUCAUUACAAUGAUGAUAUCGCACUGUUAUAAUAAAUUAAUAAAAAAUUAAAAAUAAAUAAAAUAUAUAAAAUAAUAUAAGAUAUUAUCUAUGAAACUUGAUAUAAUAUAUGAAAAAAUAUGAAGUACAUGAUGAAUAUUUUUUUUAUAUAAAAAAAUAUUCGUUGCAAUGGUGAUACAACAUUAUCGUUGUGACAAAUCAAUGAAAAAUUAGUAAUAGAUAAAAUAUGUAGGAUAAUAUGAGAUAUUAUCCACAAAAAUUGAUCUAUAUAAUACAUAAUAAUUAAUAAAAUAUAAAUUUUUUUUUGAUUUGUUAUAAAUUUAAUACAGCAUCACCGUUUGGUUCCUCUCUUUUUAAGGAGCCCUCAGCCCUUCUCCCCCUCUAACCCCCAUCCUAAUCUGAAAUAAAAGCUAUGGCCGACUCCAACCCCCUUCUGCCUCCUUACACUCCGUCAGAAACUCAGCAUCCAAUUAGAGUAAAGAAGGCAGCAUCACCAUCGUUCGACGACGCCAUCGAGCACUAUAUCGGCAGAACCAGCUUCUCCCAACUCUUCCAAGCAUUCUUCGCUUCUCUCUCAUGGGUUUUCGACGCCCAACAGACCUUCAUCAAUGUCUUCACUGAUGCGGAGCCCAAGUGGCGUUGUAUUCGGCCCGACGACCCAUCAUGCUCCUCGGCGAGCAAUCCCUGCAGUCUCCCCAAGGGCUCAUGGGCAUGGGACCUCCCCGAGCACACCUCCAUAGUGUCCGAGUGGAACCUCGAGUGCUCUGGCUCGGCCCUCGCCGGCUUGCCGGCAUCCGCCUACUUCAUUGGCUGCCUCAUCGGAGGACUCUUGCUUGCAACACUCGCCGAUUCGCUGCUCGGCCGCAAGAAAAUGCUCUUCUUCUCCUGCCUCACCAUGUCGCUCACCGGAAUUCUCACCGUCAUAUCACCGAAUAUAUGGCUCUACUCGGCCCUGAGAUUUAUUUGCGGGUUUGGACGAGCCACCGUCCUCACCUGCGCGCUCGUGCUAUCGACGGAGAUCGUCAGCCAAAAAUGGCGAGAUGGUGUCAGCAUCAUCGGAUUCUUUUGUUUUGGGCUUGGCUUCUUAUCUUUACCCG